rnacentral:tRNA from 1 species
GGUUGUGGCUCAGUGGCAGAGCGCUUGCCUAGCAUGUGUGAGGCACUGGGUUCGAUUCUCAGCACCA